AACGCACAUUGCGCCCGCCAGUAUUCUGGCGGGCAUGCCUGUCCGAGCGUCAUUUCACCCAUCAGGCCCGGCCUGUGUUGGGGCCCUGCGGCUGCGCGCAGGCCCUGAAAAGCAGUGGCGGACUCGCUGUCACCCCGAGCGUAGUAAUACCCCUCGCUCCGGGCGUGCUGCGGGCUCUGGCCGUAAAACCCCCAAACACCAAAGGUUGACCUCGGAUCAGGUAGGAAGACCCGCUGAACUUAA
rnacentral:misc_RNA from 1 species